UCAACCUCCUGGGCUCAAGUGAUCCUCCUACCUCCUGAGUAGCUGGGAUUGCAGGCGCAUGACACCACGCCCAGUAUGCUUUCUCGUCUGAACACACAAGGAAGAAAAGAAGGAUGGCUCCUGUACGUGAAAGUGACCCCUGCAUAUAGUGCCUGAAAUCAGAGGAAGCUUGUCAGUGUGGGCAGACACCACGAGCAGACCAAUUUGACAUUGUGCUUCUCUUUUAACCUCUUGAAAAUUAAUGAAAGUUAUCUGAUGAAGAUCCUUACAUUAAUUGCUCCCGAUUAAGGUUUAAAACCUUGGUUUACUGUGGGGUAAAUUUAUGUUUUUGAUAGUCAUCCAAAAUCUUUGUACGCUUUCAGUUUCAUUACAGAAUAAAAAACAAAUUUAC
rnacentral:lncRNA from 10 species